UGUCUCUCCAGUAACAGGGCUUGCAAAAAAAAGGAGUUUUAAAAGCUUUUGCUUUUUUGGAUUGUGUAAAUGCUUCAUUCGCCUCACAAACAACCACAGAACCACAAGUGCGGUGCAAACUUUCUCCAAAAGGACACAGCAAGAAGCCUUUGGUUUUUAAAUGGUUAAUCUCAACAGGUCACCAGCAGCCACGGAGACCAUCAGAGUCAUUUAAGGCUUCAAAGAUUCUUUGCACCAGAAGAGACACACUGACAGGAGGGGAGAGCAAUGGCAUCGAACAGUCUCUUCAGCUCAGUGACACCUUGUCAGCAAAACUUCUUCUGGGAACAAGAUCAUCAAGACAUCAGUGUAAUAAUGUGGUUACAAAUGCUGUUGCUGGACUGGGAAUCAUAGCCUAUUCAUUUAUAUUUUUUCUCAUCUUGAAUGUCUUACAACUCACACCCUUCUGCACUGUAAUAGCCAUAAAAUGCCACACUUUCUAUUAAGCUUUUGUCAUCCAGUGCAUGACUAUUUCAAUGUUGGUCUGGUCAUAUCCUCAAUGGAAGACUUUGUCAUACUGCUGUGCCUCAGCUUCAAUUUCUAUCUGGAGAAUGGGAAAGAAAAUGAUCUUCUUCAUAUGAACUACAUUAGAUAAGGCAAUACAACUUUGGCAUUUAUUAGAAUCAAUAACUGAGCACUAAGUUAUUUAAAACUAAAGUGUUAUAUUGUUCUCUGAAACCAAAGCCAGACAAUUACUCAUUAGUGCAAAGACACAAGAUUCUGUUAAAAACACAUUCUGCAGUCAGCACAACAAAAAAUACACAUAAAUUAUGACUAAAUAGGUUACAGGAAGAUUUAGCAAUUGAAUUUGUUUUAUAAGACACUAAAUUUUUUAUCAAUGACUUAGUCAUAAAUCAGGUGAAGAGAAUAGGACAUUUGUUAACAGUGCAAGAAUACAACAAAAUCGUUAUUUAAGGCUUGUGUGGCCCUUAAAGAUCAUGAGUCAGCACUAUUUUCUUGUACUGAAAUCUAUUUUUAUAUUCAGAAGGCCCACAAAUCCCUCUGAUCAAAGGGGUUGAAACAGUGACUGAAAAUUACAACUAUGAAAACUGUUAAGGCUAUUAAAAUUGCAUCUGGAAGAAAAAAACUAGCAUUAAAAUAAAUUAUGCAGAAUUUCACUCGGAAGAGACUGAGAAAAUUAAACAUGUAUUAUCUAAUUCUACUACUUGAUCCUAGUUUUCUCCUGAAGAGAAAGAGAGAGAGAGAGAAAGCAAAGUUACUGCUAUGUCAUCUUUUACAGCAAUGCAUUCGAUUAUUGUGAUUUGCAAAAUAAUUUACACUUAGAUUUUGUUCUUGCUGCAAGGAGCUCAGUAUACCAUAUUCAAUUCUCCCUCCAAUUUCAUUUACCUUCAAAAUAGUUCUGUGGGAAGAUUAUGGUAAGAAAAAGUAAUCAGCUCAGUAAACUUCAUGGGUGAGUAGAACCUGAACCUGUGAUCCAAAAAUUUAACCAUCAUUGGGAAGGGAUGAUGUUUAUGCUGAAACAAAUAUUGUUUAAUAUGUUGUUACCUACCCUAAAAAAAUGGAAGAUUGGAAAAGUAUAAAUCAAAUAAUGAAAAU